UCAGACGAUGCGUCAUGCAUAUCAAUAAGCGGAGGAAAAGAAACUAACAAGGAUUCCCCUAGUAACGGCGAGUGAAGCGGGAAGAGCUCAAAUUUGAAAUCUUAAAGGGUUUCCCUUUACGAAUUGUAGUUUAAAGAAGUGUUUUCUGUUGAGGUUUUGGUAAAAGUUCUUUGGAAUAGGACAUCAUAGGGGGUGAGAAUCCCGUAUUUGACCUUUACUUUCAACUUUGUGAUACACUUUCAAAGAGUCGGAUUGUUUGGGAAUGCAGUCCAAAAUGGGUGGUAAAUUUCAUCUAAAGCUAAAUAUUGGCGAGAGACCGAUAGCGAACAAGUACCGUGAGGGAAAGAUGAAAAGAACUUUGAAAAGAGAGUUAAACAGUACGUGAAAUUGUCAGAAGGGAAGCGUUUGACACCAGUGUUGUUUUUCUGAAAAUCAAUUAAAGAACUGUUUAUGCUAAGCUGUUUAGACUUUAUCAGCUAUCUGUUUAGUUUUGAGCUUUUCUUUAAUGCACUUUUCAGUUAACAAGUCAACAUCAAUUUCUUUUGCUGUAAAAAAGCUUGAGGAAGGUGGCUUGAGAUUCGUCUUAAGUGUUUAUAGCCUCUUGCCUAUGCAGUCGGAGAGAUUGAGGUCUGCAGCGUAGAUCCUUCGGGGCUAAAUGCAUUUGUGCUAAGUUAUAGCAUUUUAUAGACAACUUGUUGACUAUGAUUUGUCUUGUAGCUUACUCGCUUAUGUUAUUUUACCUACGCUUAGGAUGUUGACACACGCGCGUGCUCG
rnacentral:rRNA from 1 species